rnacentral:rRNA from 1 species
AACGAACGCUGGCGGCAUGCUUAACACAUGCAAGUCGAACGAACGAUAGGCUUCGGCCUAAAGUUAGUGGCAGACGGGUGAGUAACGCGUGGGAACGUACCAUAUGGUUCGGAAUAACUAAGGGAAACUUUAGCUAAUACCGGAUAAGCCCUUCGGGGGAAAGAUUUAUCGCCAAAUGAACGGCCCGCGUUAGAUUAGGUAGUUGGUAGGGUAAAGGCCUACCAAGCCGACGAUCUAUAGCUGGUCUGAGAGGAUGAUCAGCCACACUGGGACUGAGACACGGCCCAGACACCUACGGGAGGCAGCAGUGGGGAAUAUUGGACAAUGGGGGAAACCCUGAUCCAGCAAUGCCGCGUGAGUGAAGAAGGCCUUCGGGUUGUAAAGCUCUUUUGUAAGGGAAGAUAAUGACGGUACCUUAAGAAUAAGCUCCGGCUAACUUCGUGCCAGCCGCCGCCGUAA